rnacentral:rRNA from 1 species
CAGUGAUAAACUGGAGGAAGGUGGGGAUGACGUCAAGUCAUCAUGGCCCUUACGAGUAGGGCUACACACGUGCUACAAUGGCAUAUACAAAGAGAAGCGACCUCGCGAGAGCAAGCGGACCUCAUAAAGUAUGUCGUAGUCCGGAUUGGAGUCUGCAACUCGACUCCAUGAAGUCGGAAUCGCUAGUAAUCGUGGAUCAGAAUGCCACGGUGAAUACGUUCCCGGGCCUUGUACACACCGCCCGUCACACCAUGGGAGUGGGUUGCAAAAGAAGUAGGUAGCUUAACCUUCGGGAGGGCGCUUACCACUUUGUGAUUCAUGACUGGGGUGAAGUCGUAACAAGGUAACCGUAGGGGAACCUGCGGUUGGAUCACCUCCUUACCUUAAAGAA